GAUGAACGCUGGCGGCGUGCCUAAUACAUGCAAGUCGAACGCAUAGCGAAAGGUGCUUGCACCUUUCAAGUGAGUGGCGAACGGGUGAGUAACACGUGGACAACCUGCCUCAAGGCUGGGGAUAACAUUUGGAAACAGAUGCUAAUACCGAAUAGAGCUUAGUGUCGCAUGACACAAAGUUAAAAGGCGCUUCGGCGUCACCUAGAGAUGGAUCCGCGGUGCAUUAGUUAGUUGGUGGGGUAAAGGCCUACCAAGACAAUGAUGCAUAGCCGAGUUGAGAGACUGAUCGGCCACAUUGGGGCUGAGACACGGCCCAAACUCCUACGGGAGGCUGCAGUAGGGAAUCUUCCACAAUGGGCGAAAGCCUGAUGGAGCAACGCCGCGUGUGUGAUGAAGGCUUUCGGGUCGUAAAGCACUGUUGUAUGGGAAGAACAGCUAGAAUAGGAAAUGAUUUUAGUUUGACGGUACCAUACCAGAAAGGGACGGCUAAAUACGUG
rnacentral:rRNA from 1 species